rnacentral:rRNA from 1 species
CCUUAUUUUACUAUUGCGUAAAUUAGGUCUCUUAAUCCAACAUCGAGGUCAUAAACUUUAUUCGAUGAUAAGAUGCUCUUUCAAAAAAAUUCUCGCUCGUUAUUCCCUCACAGUCAACUUCAUUCAUUCAUUUCAAAUAAAUUCUUUCGGUUCUAACAAGAUCUCAUUCCAUCAUAAUAGAAAAAAUCGAAAAUUCCUUCAUUCUACUGCCCCAGUAAAAUAAUCUUAAUUCUUAUUUUCGAUAAUAAAAGUUAAUUCAUAAAGCUCGAUAGGGUCUUCUCGUCUUUAAAAAAAAUCUUAGCUUCUUUACUAAAAUAUAAAUUCAAGUAUCAAAUGAGACAAUUAUAA